GAUGAACGCUGGCGGCGUGCCUAAUACAUGCAAGUCGAGCGAACAGAUGAGGAGCUUGCUCCUCUGACGUUAGCGGCGGACGGGUGAGUAACACGUGGAUAACCUACCUAUAAGACUGGGAUAACUUCGGGAAACCGGAGCUAAUACCGGAUAAUAUAUUGAACCGCAUGGUUCAAUAGUGAAAGACGGUUUUGCUGUCACUUAUAGAUGGAUCUGCGCCGCAUUAGCUAGUUGGUAAGGUAACGGCUUACCAAGGCAACGAUGCGUAGCCGACCUGAGAGGGGGAUCGGCCACACUGGAACUGAGACACGGUCCAGACUCCUACGGGAGGCAGCAGUAGGGAAUCUGCCGCAAUGGGCGAAAGCCUGACGGAGCAACGCCGCGUGAGUGAUGAAGGUCUUCGGAUCGUAAAACUCUGUUAUUAGGGAAGAACAAAUGUGUAAGUAACUAUGCACGUCUUGACGGUACCUAAUCAGAAAGCCACGGCUAACUACGUG
rnacentral:rRNA from 1 species